rnacentral:rRNA from 2 species
UACGGAGGGUGCGAGCGUUGUCCGGAAUCACUGGGCGUAAAGGGCGCGUAGGCGGCGCGACAAGGCGGCGGUGAAAGUCCGGGGCUCAACCCCGGAUCGGCCGUGGCGACUGUCGCGCUCGAGCACAGUAGAGGCGGGUGGAAUUCCGGGUGUAGCGGUGGAAUGCGUAGAGAUCCGGAAGAACACCGGUGGCGAAGGCGGCCCGCUGGGCUGUGGCUGACGCUGAGGCGCGACAGCGUGGGGAGCAAACAGG